CAGUCCCGCGGGAAUACGGAGGGUGCAAGCGUUAAUCGGAAUUACUGGGCGUAAAGCGCACGCAGGCGGUUUGUUAAGUCAGAUGUGAAAUCCCCGAGCUUAACUUGGGAACUGCAUUUGAAACUGGCAAGCUAGAGUCUUGUAGAGGGGGGUGGAAUUCCAGGUGUAGCGGUGAAAUGCGUAGAGAUCUGGAGGAAUACCAGUGGCGAAGGCGGCCCCCUGGACAAAGACUGACGCUCAGGUGCGAAAGCGUGGGGAGCAAACAGGAUUAGAUACCCGCGUAGUCCCUGUCUCUUAUACA
rnacentral:rRNA from 1 species